rnacentral:tRNA from 1 species
UGGGGUGUAGCUCCGUGGUAGAGCACUUGCCUAGCAUGCAUGAGGGCCUGGGCUCAAUUCCCAGGGCCACAG